UAGGGAAUCUUCCGCAAUGGACGCAAGUCUGACGGAGCAACGCCGCGUGAGUGAAGAAGGAUUUCGGUUCGUAAAACUCUGUUGUUAGAGAAGAACAGCGCAUAGAGUAACUGUUAUGCGUGUGACGGUAUCUAACCAGAAAGCCACGGCUAACUACGUGCCAGCAGCCGCGGUAAUACGUAGGUGGCAAGCGUUGUCCGGAUUUAUUGAGCGUAAAGCGAGCGCAGGCGGUCAAUUAAGUCUGAUGUGAAAGCCCCCGGCUCAACCGGGGAGGGUCAUUGGAAACUGGUUGACUUGAGUGCAGAAGAGGAGAGUGGAAUUCCAGGUGUAGCGGUGAAAUGCGUAGAUAUAUGGAGGAACACCAGUGGCGAAGGCGACUCUCUGGUCUGUAACUGACGCUGAGGCUCGAAAACGUGGGUAGCAAACAGG
rnacentral:rRNA from 1 species